rnacentral:rRNA from 1 species
UGAGGAAUUUUGCGCAAUGGGGGAAACCCUGAUGCAGCAACGCCGCGUGAAGGAUGACGGUUUUCGGAUUGUAAGCUUCUUUUCUUAGUGACGAAGACAGUGACGGUAGCUAAGGAAUAAGCAUCGGCUAACUACGUGCCAGCAGCCGCGGUAAUACGUAGGAUGCAAGCGUUAUCCGGAUUUACUGGGUGUAAAGGGAGCGCAGGCGGGACUGCAAGUUGGAUGUGAAAUACCGUGGCUUAACCACGGGACUGCAUCCAAAACUGUAGUUCUUGAGUGAAGUAGAGGCAAGCGGAAUUCCGAGUGUAGCGGUGAAAUGCGUAGAUAUUCGGAGGAACACCAGCGGCGAAGGCGGCUUGCUGGGCGUUAACUGACGCUGAGGCUCGAAAGUGUGGGGAGCAAACA